UCUCCAAAUGCUGACAGCCUCCCAGUAAGAUACUCGUGCAGAACAAGGCAGCAUAGAAUAUAUUCUCUCUCUCUCUUUUUCUUUGUUUUGCCAGAGGUAAAGGAAAGUUCUGUGAGAGAAGGGAAGGAGGGGUGAAGACCAGUUCUGUGUUCUCCAGCUUCCAGUCACAUCUCAUUGGCACUAGAGAUAUGGAGAUGGAAGAAGAGAGAGUCAGUGUCCUCAGGGUCGAGGUGAAGAAGACAGAUGAUGUGCCAGUGUGAUGUGAUCAAGGCCAGCCAAAAUGACAACAUGGGAUGAAGGUAUGAUGAUGGCCCCCAAGGAACCUGCCCAGGCUGCUGUGGGAGCACCACAUCUUAGAAGCAGACUCAAGUCCAUCUGGAAUUGCCUCGAGCCAUUU
rnacentral:lncRNA from 1 species